CAAGCGGUGGAGCAUAUGGUUUAAUUCGAUGCAACGCGAAGAACCUUACCUACUCUUGACAUCCAGCGAACUUAGCAGAGAUGCUUUGGUGCCUUCGGGAACGCUGAGACAGGUGCUGCAUGGCUGUCGUCAGCUCGUGUUGUGAAAUGUUGGGUUAAGUCCCGCAACGAGCGCAACCCUUAUCCUUUGUUGCCAGCGAUACGGUCGGGGACUCAAAGGAGACUGCCGGUGAUAAACCGGAGGAAGGUGGGGAUGACGUCAAGUCAUCAUGGCCCUUACGAGUAGGGCUACACACGUGCUACAAUGGCGCAUACAAAGAGAAGCGACCUCGCGAGAGCAAGCGGACCUCAGAAAGUGCGUCGUAGUCCGGAUCGGAGUCUGCAACUCGACUCCGUGAAGUCGGAAUCGCUAGUAAUCGUGGAUCAGAAUGCCACGGUGAAUACGUUCCCGGGCCUUGUACACACC
rnacentral:rRNA from 1 species